rnacentral:tRNA from 1 species
AGGAUACGUGCCUGAGCCACAAAGGGCUACUUUGAUAGAGUAGAUAAUAGGGGUUAAAGCCCCCUCGUAUCCU